AUCACUUCUUUGCCUUUUAGCUAAGAUCAAGUAUAGGAAUUGUUCUUCACUAGCCCUUGGCAACUUUAGCCUUCUUUAUGUUUCUAUGGAUUUAGCUAUUCUGGAUAUUUCAAAUAAAUUAAAUCAGACAAUAUGUGACUUUUUGUGUCUGACUUCUU
rnacentral:snRNA from 1 species